rnacentral:lncRNA from 1 species
AAAACACAUGGCACUGAUCUUAGAAUACUCGCAGUUACUGUAAACUGUAGUUCAAAUGAUAAGAAAUAAGAAGACGGGGCGUGGUUGCCAAUGAGACAACUCUCCACAAGAGACAAAAUGACACAGAAAUUAACAACUAUAGGUCGCCGUACGGCCUUCAACAAUGAGUAAAACACCUACCGUAUAUAUAGUCGGCUAUAAAAGACCCCCAAAUUACAAAUAUAAAGCAAAAUAAUUCAACGAAAAAACUAAUUAACGACCUUACUUAUGUACAAAAAAAUGAACG